rnacentral:tmRNA from 1 species
GGGGCCGUUCUGGAUUCGACGCCGGUUACAAAACCUCUAGUGCAUGCCGAGAUGGUGACCAAUCUCGUUAAUCCAAGUCGCAAACUUAUAGUUGCCAACGACGACAACUACGCACUCGCUGCUUAAACCCCAGUAGGGUGCCGUCUGACUGGAGCCGCGCCUGCGCGUCCAGGUCAAACCUCCGGGUGAGACAUUCAGGCGUCAUAUCUCGCAGGAUCGUGACAAAGCUCGUCCGGGGUGGAGUCACUAAAACCUUACCGGAAUCGUGGGCGGCGCAUCCUGACGGUCGGAUUGCCAACCAUUAAAUUUAAAGACCUGUCUAAGCAUGUAGAGCUAGUCGCAGCGGACUGACGGACGCGGGUUCAAUUCCCGCCGGCUCCACCA